GUGCUGGAUCCAGCAACACGUCUACUAAAAUCGGAACUAGAGACUUGAAGAGAGGGAUGGCUCCUACACAAGGAUGGCAUGUGAAUUCAUGAAGCAGUCCAUAUUUUU
rnacentral:snRNA from 1 species